AGAGAGAGACAUGCGCGCAUAUCAAUAAGCGGAGGAAAAGAAACUAACAAGGAUUCCCUUAGUAACGGCGAGUGAAGCGGGAAGAGCUCAAAUUUGAAAUCUUCAAGGUUUUACCUUGACGAAUUGUAGUAUAAAGAAGUGUUUUCUGCUGAAGUUUUGGUAAAAGUUCUUUGGAAUAGGACAUCAUAGAGGGUGAGAAUCCCGUAUUUGACCAUUAUUUUCAGCUUUGUGAUACACUUUCAAAGAGUCGGAUUGUUUGGGAAUGCAGUCCAAAAUGGGUGGUAAAUUUCAUCUAAAGCUAAAUAUUGGCGAGAGGACCGAUAGCGAACAAGUACCGUGAGGGAAAGAUGAAAAGAACUUUGAAAAGAGAGUUAAACAGUACGUGAAAUUGUCAAAAGGGAAGCGUUUGACACCAGUGUUGUUUCUCGAAAAUCAAUUAAAAAUGGCUCGAUUUUGUAUUGCUUGAGACCUUAAAAGCUCACUGUACAUUUUUCGUGUCUUUUUUAAUGCACUUUUCGUUUAACAAGUCAACAGUCAGUUUCUUUUGUUGUAAAAGGGUCAUUGGAAGGUGGCUUUCUUUUCGGAGAAAGUGUUUAUAGCCUUUGGCCUCUGCAAUCGGAGAGGACUGAGGUCUGCAGCGUAGACUCUUCGGGGUUAGAUACAUUUGUGCUAAGUUAUAGCUUUUUAUAGACAACUUGUUGACUAUAAUUAGUCUUGUAGCUUACUCGCUUAUGCUAUUUUACCUACGCUUAGGAUGUUGAAGAUGUAGCACAUCAU
rnacentral:rRNA from 1 species